UGGUGUGAAUUGCAGAAUCCCGCGAACCAUCGAGUCUUUGAACGCAAGUUGC
rnacentral:rRNA from 1 species